rnacentral:lncRNA from 1 species
AAGAAACGGGAUUAUAAUAAUUUUUAGGCACAUUCUUUGAUUUUUGUCCUUCAGAAUCAACUCGGCUCCUAUAAAACGUAUCUAAACUCUGUCCACCAUUUCUCUCCGCCGCAAAUCGCCGCUCCACCUUACGCGCCGCCAUCACUGUCUAGAUCAAACCGCCACCCUCCAUUUACCUGAUCAUUCACCGUCCAUAACAGGGUUGAGAAAAAUCCCAUUUCCAGGUUCUUCAACCAAUUUCCAAACACCCAUUAUAUAGAUCAGUCAUUAUAACUGCAGUGCUCGUGAAUGUCAACACUAUCAUUUCUUUAUCCCGUAAUCUAUAUGUUUUUUUUGAGCUGUAUGCAUUUUUAGAGAAAGUGAGCUAGAGAUUGUUCUGUAUUGCGUUGAUCUUAUGGUGUCAUUUAUUUGAAUUAUGAAUUUUGGAUUUAUUUAAAAUGAAAAUUAUAUUCACAAUUCGGGAUUAGAUACGAUAAAAGUCAGUUCUAUUGUUUAAGUUUUAUUUUUUUGGUGGAUUUAUUGUUGUGUAACUCCAGCUGGAGCAUUUCUCAUAAAGAUCCUUUCUUUGCAGCUAUAUUGUAUCAAAAAAUUGGAUGGUUUUAUGGUGCUCUGUGGUCAUUGUUACAUGUUAUUUUAGUUCGGAAAGAAGAGGAUUUAGUUUUAACUUAUUUAUCUACUUUCGUCGAGAUUCAGUAAAAAAAAAAAAUAUUUAUAAACUGCACUUCAUUUGUUUGGUUGAAUGGGUGGGAUGACUUUGUUAAGCUGCAAGCUUUCACGGUUUAAAAUGGAAAAUUGAUCGAGUUUGUUUUACAUUUUGGCAUAAGAACUAUAACAUUUUGGCAGUCAUUAUAAAUAAGAGUGAUAUACCAAUACAGUAGCUGAAACAGCUGAAAUUAAUGAUAUUGGGGUUUGUUUUUCAUUGCCGAGUGUAAGAGAGUUUCACAAGGGAGGGAGGUGCAAUAAAAGGCCAGUCUACGAAAUCGGACUGAGGUGGGCAUUUCUGAUAUAACAAGAUGUUUUGUCUAAAGAAAUUAAGGCAAGGCAUAGCAUCAGAUUAUGACAGUUACCUCGGACUGACAUGGAUUUUGGUAUUUGUUUUAACUGAUGAUAUUAGCUAAUGUGGGAAGAUUUGCCAUUGGUUAUCCAUAAAAGAGAUUAAUCAUAUAUGGGUGCAUUAUUAGGUACUAUAGAGUGGUAGAAUAAACUUGGCAUUGACAGAAGACAUUAGCCUUUGCAUUCCAUAUUCUUUGAGGACUUGUGGAUUUCCAAAAGUUCAGCUCAGAGAUUCGGAUUGCUUGUCAUUAUUUUAGGAGAAAAUUGUGAUGGAGAUCAAGAUAAGUAUAAAGAUGGAAGUAGAUUUUAAUUAGUGUUUUAAAGUAGUGUUUGAUUUAAAGUAUAUUUAGUCAAAUCUAGUUAGAUUAGUUUUGAUAUUUUGGUGCAAUUAUCGUUUAUUAGAAGUUUGUUCCCUUUUUAACUUAUUUUUAGUUUAUUUUUUUCUAUAAAUAGAAGGGAUUAUUCAUUGUAAUUUACAACCUGAUUAUAUGAAUAAAUAUUGAUUUCUCUUUGCUCUUAAUUCUUCUCCUCUUGGCCUGUGCAUAGGCUUGCCAUGUACUCAUAUAGUCAGUCCUUUUCAAUAUCAUUUAGUCUUUUCUCAUUGAGAUCUCUAUUUCAUUUUUUGGUGCAUUCCAGCGUUUCUGAGCAAUUAAUGCUGUGUAAACCGACAGGGUUUAUAUCAAUCAAAAGCAUGUUGGGUUGCUUGGGAACCAGAUGUUGAAAGUUGCACUGUCGUAAAAUAUGAGUGCUUGCUCCUGUCAGCUUGAUUCACAUGUUGAAUUGACAUUUACAUCCUUCAGCUAAUAGGUAAUUUUAACUAAAACUCAAAAAACCAGUACUUUUAAGAAAAUUGACUUAUUAUUUAGAUAUGACUACUUGCACCUGUUACCUUGAUGUGCUGUGCACUUUUAUGCUGAAAGGUAGAGAUGGCANNN